rnacentral:rRNA from 1 species
CGUAGCCGCGGUAAUACGAAGGGUGCAAGCGUUAAUCGGAAUUACUGGGCGUGAAGCGUGCGUAGGCGGUGAGUUAAGUCUGCUGUGAAAUCCCCGGGCUCAACCUGGGAAUGGCAGUGGAUACUGGCUCGCUAGAGUGUGUCAGAGGAUGGUGGAAUUCCCGGUGUAGCGGUGAAAUGCGUAGAGAUCGAGAGGAACAUCAGUGGCGAAGGCGGCCAUCUGGGACAACACUGACGCUGAGGCACGAAAGCGUGGGGAGCAAACAGGAUUAGAUACCCCCGUAGUCCCUGUCUCUUAUAAC